rnacentral:rRNA from 1 species
AUUGAACGCUGGCGGCAGGCCUAACACAUGCAAGUCGAACGAGUGGCGGACGGGUGAGUAAUGCCUGGGAAACUGCCUGAUGGAGGGGGAUAACUACUGGAAACGGUAGCUAAUACCGCAUACCAUCGGAUGUGCCCAGAUGGGAUUAGCUUGUUGGUGGGGUAACGGCUCACCAAGGCGAAGAUCCCUAGCUGGUCUGAGAGGAUGACCAGCCACGCUGGAACGAAGACACGGUCCAGACUCCUACGGGAGGCAGCAGUGGGGAAUAUUGCACAAUGGGCGCAAGCCUGAUGCGGCCAUGCCGCGUGUAUUAAGAGGGCCUUCGGGUUGUAAAGUACUUUCAGCGGGGAGGCGUUACCCGCAGAGGAAGCACCGGCUAACUUCGUGCCAGCAGCCGCGGUAAUAC